ensembl:lncRNA
AGAUAUUCCACCCCAUCCUGAUAUUCCAGGAGCUGAAGAGUCGAAUCCAUAAUCCACUGACAAAUACGGAACGGGUGGUUAUACCAAAGGAAGAGUACAACCAGAAGGCCCCUGUCUCUGUGCCUGAUGUGUCUACUGUUUCUGAGGUGCUGCCUCACCCGUAUUCCCUCAGCCUGAGCUGCACACUUUAAAGCAGCAGCCAGCACCACCACAACAGAUCCACAUCCAGCAGCACCUCCAGUUCCACUUCCUCCCAGACAGAAAUGAAAGGCAAAUACAAAUUGAAUGGAUUCUUUGGAAAUGCAUACCAAAGUAUGGAUAACGUGUAUAGACAUUUAACAUUUAAUAAAACUUAAAUCAUAUGAAUAAUAGCAAUGUGUCACUUUUUCCAACUCAUGCCUCUGUUCCUCUUCUUAUGAUAAUUUGGAAGUAGCCAUUCAUACUGCAAAAAUAUGGAUCUUCAUUUGAUUUCUCCAUUCUACACUUAAUGUUUCUGUGAAUGUUGUACAUUUUCUAUCAUUUUAUUUGAGUCUUUUGUUCUCCUUAAC